GGGGACAUGCACGGCUAUCAGCUGCAAAAGAUGCCAAAGAGCACAUACAAAAGAGGCCACCGAGCCCAACCCGUGACCCAGCAUCAAAAGGUGCACACGGACGAAAAGAUGGCCUCCGAGCCCAUCCGUGACCCAGCACCGAUAAGUGCGCACGGACCAAAAUAAUGCAGCGAAAAGAUCCCCUAUGAGGGCACAGUCGUAAAAAAAUAGCGCAAUUGCAUCCCUCGGGUUGGCGUGUGCUAGACAUUAGCAGGCUUUUUUUCUUCUUUCUUUUAUUUCAUACAUAUGCCACUAAUAAACUAUUAAUCCAUUUGUUUUCGCUACCCGUUCGACUAUCUCUUUUUCUUUUAUUUAGUUUAUACAUAUUAACACGGGACAUGCACGGCUGUCAGCUGUGAAAGAUGCCAAAGAGCACAUAUAAAAGAGGCCACCAAGCCCAACCCGUCACCCAGCAUCAAAAGGUGCACACGGACGAAAAGAUGGCCUCCGAGCCCAUCCGUGACCCAGCACCGAUAAGUGCGCACGGACUAAAAUAAUGCAGCGAAAAGAUCCCCUAUGAGGACACAGUCGUAAACAAAUAGCGCAAUUGCAUCCCUCGGGUUGGCAUGUGCUAGACAUUAGCACCUGGC
rnacentral:lncRNA from 1 species